CCGGGAUAAAUCUCCGCCUAUUGAUGUUCCGCUGAAUUAUAGCCAAUCCUUGCCUGUGGAUGCACCACCAGUCCCACCUCCAUAUCGGUCAUCGUCACCACAAAGAGUAUCCCCUCCAAGUCAGUCAUCUGAUCAGUGCUCUUCCUCAUCCACAUCCACAAUGCCAUCUUUUUGGUCUUCACCAUGCCACCAGUCAGCUCCUAGGUCUACGCCACAUGGGUCUACGUCAUCUGUUCCAAUUUCUCACUCUUCUGCCAACACCAUGUCUUCUCCUUGGUCUGUGCCUCAUCGCCAGUCAGCUCCUGUGUCUACGGAACAUGGCCCGUCAUCUGUUCCGUUUUGUGUGUGUGUGUAAGCUAUUGGGUGUCUUAAAUUACCCUUGGGAUGAAUAAAGUAUCUAUCUUUCUCUCUCUCUCUCUCUCUCUCCAGCGUUUUUCUACUAGGGCAAGGUCCUUUCAUCAUACAUCUCCACGAUCACCAGUGCCGCCUGCUCAAUCCUCAUUCUCUCCACCCAGAUUCCAAGCCAGUUCUGACGCCUCUACAUUUUUUAGGCCAUCAUUCAGGAUUGGGCAAUA